UCAUGUAAACAGUGUUAAUGGAGGACAUUUACAGUCACACUUCUCUGUAGAACGAGUAACACUCUUCUAACACUCCUGAGCUCACGUCAUUACUAACAUCUUAAAGGCAUCAGAAAACUCACAGACAUUCUGCAUCAUCGAAUUUCACGUGAACGGAUAAAAAGUGUAGUGUUUCGUUCUUACAGAGAUGGCAAACUGGAUGAUUGUGCUGGUUGUGUCAGUGUCUGGAAGCCUCUCUCUUUCUGAACGAGACCUGGAAUAUUUCAGUCCACAGAGCUGCAAAGAGCUGAUGCACAGAUAUAAGACGAAUGAAGAUGGACUUUAUUACCUGAGCACGGCGAGCGGUGUCGUGUAUCAGACCUACUGUGAUAUGACCACAGCAGGAGGAGGAUGGACUUUGGUGGCCAGUGUUCACGAGAACAACAUGUACGGGAAAUGCAGCACCGGAGAUCGCUGGUGCAGUCAGCAGGGUAACAGUCCUAACGUACCUGAAGGAGACGGCUCGUGGAGUAACACUGUCACAUUCGGCACUGCAGAAGCUGCAACCAGUGAUGACUUUAAGAAUCCUGGGUAUUAUGACAUCACAGCGGAGGAUGUAGCAGUGUGGCAUGUUCCUAAUAACGAGCAAGUGAACCGCUGGAAACUAACAUCGUUCCUGCGCUACCACACGGAGACCAAAUUCCUCAACAGUUACAAAGGAAACCUCUACAAUCUCUUCAAGCAAUUCCCAGUGAAGUACAAUGCAGGAAGUUGUCCUGAUAACCACGGCCCCUCUAUUCCCACAGUGUAUGAUGUUGGAGAUGCCACAUCCAACCACAACCUGUUUGGACCCAACGUCAGAGCGAGAAGCAAGCCUGGAUUCAUCACAUUCAGACCAAUAAAUGCAGAAAGGGCGGCGAUGGCGAUCUGCUCAGGAGUCAAACCAACAGACUGCAACACAGAACACGGCUGUUACUUCCUGUAAACAGAUAGUUAAGUCCCUGGACCGCCAGGGGUCGCCAUCAUUAUAAAAAAAAUACUCACUUGACCAUCAUGUCCUAUACUUGGUAAAAAGGUGAGGUAUUAAGCAGCACAAUGGGGAAAACAACUGAAAUAUCCAAACAAAAUUUAGUCCUGUAUAGGAGGAGGUGGAUAUUUUCCUGAAGCGUCUCCAAGGCAGUGUGGUGAUUUCACCGCAUUUGACUGGGAUGGUUACGGUAGUAACACCGGCUGGAGCGCCAGUAAACAAUUGAUCGAGGCAGCGGUGCUCAUCUUCUACCGCUGAGACACUGAACAUACCUAUCAGAAAUCUGUUAAACAAAUGACACAGUUUAACCAAAUAAAUGAUUUUCAACUCUGACUGAAAA